UAUACCAAUAGGGCGGGCCGCAUAUUAAUUAGUCAACUAGUCAUCAUUUUUAGUGGUUUGGGCGGAGAAAUGGAAAUGGAGUCCCCGUUUAAGUCCGACGUCCUCAAAGGCAAGGUUGCUCUUCUCACCGGCGGAGGCUCCGGCAUCGGCUUUGAGAUCUCCACCCAAUUCGGCAAACACGGAGCCUCCGUCGCCAUCAUGGGCCGCCGCAGGAAUGUCCUCGACGACGCCGUUUCUGCCCUCACCUCCCGAGGCAUCCCCGCAAUUGGUUUUGAAGGGGAUGUUAGGAAUUUGGAAGAUGCAAAAAGAGCCGUAGAGGCAACGGUGAAGCAUUUCGGGAAGCUUGAUAUUCUGGUCAAUGCGGCGGCCGGCAAUUUUUUAUCUGCAGCUGAAAAUCUCUCUCCCAAAGGCUUCAAGACAGUUAUGGACAUUGAUAGUGUUGGGACAUUCACAAUGUGUCACGAGGCGCUCAAGUAUCUCAAGAAAGACGGACCUGGAAAAGCCGGAGGCCUUAUUUUGAACAUCAGCGCCACUUUGCACUACACAGCAUCAUGGUAUCAGAUCCAUGUAUCUGCAGCCAAGGCUGCUAUCGAUGCGUUGACAAGAAAUUUGGCACUGGAAUGGGGCACCGAUUAUGAUAUAAGAGUUAAUGGGAUUGCACCAGGUCCUAUAGGAGACACGGCUGGCCUGAGUAAACUUCUGCCUGAUGAAAUUGGUAACAAAAUAAGUGAUUAUAUGCCUCUCUACAAACUUGGUGAGAAGUGGGACAUUGCCAUGGCUGCCGUGUACCUUGCCUCGGAUGCUGGUAAAUACGUCAAUGGGAGCAUCCUCCCUGUUGAUGGAGGAUUGUAGCUGAGCCAUCCUCGUCAUCUGGCUAAGGAUGAGGUGAAGCAGAUUUCCCGAACCGUAGAGAAAAGAUCUCGUGCUGCCCCAGCUGGCCUUCCGACGAGCAAACUGUAGCUCGAGUUCAAAUUGCACCGAAUACAUCAUGGACUAAAUUCCCAUUUGAUUUCAUCGGAGCAAAACCAUUGAGCCCCGUUUAGUAGAAGAAGCAGUUCCUCCUGGAGUUCAAUAUUGGUGCAGCGGAGCAGAAUAUAUAUCCAGGGGUUGAAACCUAAGACGGCGUAAUGGUCCAUCCUGUUCAGUAACGACGAGAUUCCACAAAGGUCACAAUAGUACUCAAAUGGCCAACACCCUCCACUCUAUGCACUCUAGUGUCCUCGGUCUAACAGGUUACUAUCGUCGUUUUAUUAAGGAUUAUGGCAAGAUUGCAACUCCUUCAACUAACAAUAACAUACUAUAAAAA